CAGACGGGUGAGUAACAUGUGGGUAUCUGCCCUUUGGCCUGGAAUAACACGAGGAAACUUGUGCUAAUACCGGAUAAGUCUUUACGGAGAAAGCUUUAUGCACCAUUGGAUGAGCCCGCACUUGAUUAGUUUGUUGGUGGGGUUAUGGCCUACCAAGACUUUGAUCAAUAGCUGAUUUGAGAGGAUGAUCAGCCACAUUGGGACUGAGACACGGCCCAAACUCCUACGGGAGGCAGCAGUGGGGAAUCUUGCACAAUGGAGGAAACUCUGAUGCAGCGAUGCCGCGUGAGUGAAGAAGGCCUUUGGGUUGUAAAGCUCUUUCGUCGGGGAAGAAAAUGACUGUACCCGAAUAAGAAGGUCCGGCUAACUUCGUGCCAGCAGCCGCGGUAAUACGAAGGGACCUAGCGUAGUUCGGAAUUACUGGGCUUAAAGAGUUCGUAGGUGGUUGAAAAGUUGGUGGUGAAAUCCCAGAGCUUAACUCUGGAACUGCCAUCAAAACUUUUCAGCUAGAGUAUGAUAGAGGAAAGCAGAAUUUCUAGUGUAGAGGUGAAAUUCGUAGAUAUUAGAAAGAAUACCAAUUGCGAAGGCAGCUUUCUGGAUCAUUACUGACACUGAGGAACGAAAGCAUGGGUAGCGAAGAGGAUUAGAUACCCUCGUAGUCCAUGCCGUAAACGAUGUGUGU
rnacentral:rRNA from 1 species